rnacentral:rRNA from 1 species
CCUACGGGAGGCAGCAGUGAGGAAUAUUGGUCAAUGGGCGUAAGCCUGAACCAGCCAAGUCGCGUGAGGGAUGAAGGUUCUAUGGAUCGUAAACCUCUUUUAUAAGGGAAUAAAGUGUGGGACGUGUCCUAUUUUGUAUGUACCUUAUGAAUAAGGAUCGGCUAACUCCGUGCCAGCAGCCGCGGUAAUACGGAGGAUCCGAGCGUUAUCCGGAUUUAUUGGGUUUAAAGGGUGCGUAGGCGGGCUUUUAAGUCAGCGGUGAAAGUCGGUGGCUUAACCAUAGAAUUGCAGUUGAAACUGGGGGGCGUGAGUAUGUGUGAGGCAGGUGGAAGUCUUGGUGUAGCGGUGAAAUGCGUAGAUAUCACGCAGAACGCCGAUUGCGAAGGCAGCCUGCGAGGCCAUGACUGACGCUGAUGCACGAAAGCGUGGGGAUCAAACAGGAUUAGAGACCCGAGUAGUC